AUUGAUUAAGAAGAAAAUUUCUUAUAAAUAGAUUUACAAUCUAUCGCCUAAACU
rnacentral:tRNA from 1 species